rnacentral:tRNA from 1 species
CGGCUUGGCCGCCGGCCCCGCCGGUGCCGCCGUUGCCGCCGGCGGCGCCCUGGUUCCCGGCGGUGCCGACCCCGCCCCGGCCGCC